AUUGAACGCUGGCGGCAUGCCUUACACAUGCAAGUCGAACGGCAGCAUGGAGAGCUUGCUCUCUGAUGGCGAGUGGCGAACGGGUGAGUAAUGCAUCGGAACGUACCGUGUAAUGGGGGAUAACGUAGCGAAAGUUACGCUAAUACCGCAUACGACCUGAGGGUGAAAGCAGGAGAUCGCAAGACCUUGCGUUAUACGAGCGGCCGAUGUCAGAUUAGCUAGUUGGUGAGGUAAAGGCUCACCAAGGCGACGAUCUGUAGCGGGUCUGGGAGGAUGAUCCGCCACACUGGGACUGAGACACGGCCCAGACUCCUACGGGAGGCAGCAGUGGGGAAUUUUGGACAAUGGGGGCAACCCUGAUCCAGCCAUGCCGCGUGAGUGAAGAAGGCCUUCGGGUUGUAAAGCUCUUUCGGCCGGGAAGAAAUCGCACAGGCUAAUACUCUGUGUGGAUGACGGUACCGGCAUAAGAAGCACCGGCUAACUACGUGCCAGCAGCCGCCGUAA
rnacentral:rRNA from 1 species